GGGGGACAGGGAGUGCGGCGCAUAGCAAAGCACUGACGGAGGAUCUCCUUCCCUCCUCUCGCUCUUGCCAGCUCAUAUCGAGGCAAAGACACCCUGUUCCCGCAGGGGCUCAGAUGACACCCUGCCCCAGGCACCCCUCUGCCUUCCUCCCUCUGCAUCCAGCCUCCUGGUCCGAGGCCAACAUCCCGAUUGCGUUACCAGCCGCCCUGUUCCCCUCCAGCGCCGGCAGAUGGGAAGUUCAAGAGUGAGGGUAUUGAGAACUGUGGAGCUGGAGCUGUAAAUAACUGUGAAUAUGAGCAAAUCAGAGAUGUGGCUGCAGGGGAAGCGGUGCCACGGUGUGACCAAACUGGAGAGUGGGAGAGAAAACACAAGUUUGGGGCUGGGUCCCCAGACCCCUCCUUCCCUGCUGGCCCCUGGUCUGGGUGCUGUAUGCUGUUCUCCUUCCUCCUGGAUGCCAUCUGUACCUACGGAUUGAAGGGGCAGCCCAGAAAGCCAGCCAUGUCCUGGGCUGCAUCCCCAGAAAAGGAGCAGCAAGAGGGUAACUGUACAAAGCUCACAAGCAAAUUCCACACAGGAUUGCAGGAUGCUGCAAGCAUCACUGACAGCCGCUGUGAAGAGGCUGGGUCUGGGUUCGUUUCACAAGUGUGAAAUAAAUUUCAGAGCUCUCAUAUUCAAACCAGCCCAGUAAAUUGCCCUGAAUGAGCACCAAAUGUUGUCUUGUGUAGAGGAACCUGGCAGGCAGCUGAGAAGCCUUCAGGUAAGCAGGGAGAUGUGGGCUUGGGCCACAGAGAGCGGAGCUGACCUGACUCAGGGGCCAAACUUAUUGCUUGGGGGUUGUUUAGUAGUACAUAAUGGAUAUUUAAUAGUACACUGGAUGUGGAGGAGCUGGGGGACUGAGAUGAGCUGCAGCAGUUUGUCAAGCCCCACUCCAGGAUGGCAAUGAUGGGACCUCCAGGCUGGGUGAUUCGGAGCUGCUCUGGCUCCACUCCCCUGCUGAGCACAAGGCUGGGAGCAGCUUUAAUGGCUGAUGUGUGGCAGGAAGAAAAGCAAGAAAAAAGGGAGUUUCUCUUCUUAACACCGAAUGUGCUGUGGAUGAUCCAAGACCAAAGCACAGAGAACAUCAACAGCCAAACUGUGGAACUCCACAUUGCAGGAAUUAAGCAUCAUGCCCAGGGUGGACAGCUUGGGCUGAAAAGUUAAUCCCGAUGUAAUCAGAGGCAGUGUUGUAACAGCAAAAUUGUGGAGUCACAAGUCAGAGGGUGAGAUGCCACCAAUGCCAAGUCUUGCAGGAAUGGGACAGGAGUGAUAUGUGUAACAAUCUUCUGCCUCACGCUUAAAAGGAUGGAGCAAUACCCCGGGAGAGCUGGGGGAGGUUUCUCUGUCCACCCAACGAGGUGUUCGGCCUCGAGGAAC